rnacentral:rRNA from 1 species
UACGAAGGGGGCUAGCGUUGCUCGGAAUGACUGGGCGUAAAGGGCGCGUAGGCGGUUCGUAUAGUCAGGCGUGAAAUUCCCGGGCUUAACCUGGGGGCUGCGUUUGAUACGUACGGGCUUGAGUUCGGAAGAGGGUCGUGGAAUUCCCAGUGUAGAGGUGAAAUUCGUAGAUAUUGGGAAGAACACCAGUGGCGAAGGCGGCUCACUGGCCCGGAACUGACGCUGAGACGCGAAAGCGUGGGGAGCAAACAGG